CACCUUUUGGAUGUGAUUGACAAUUUAAUUCAAAGAAGAGUACAAAGUGUGUUUAAGGAAUCUUUUGACCAAAAAAUACAAGAUUUAUCCAAACAAAUCAACCUAAUCCAGUGCAAAGAAGAUAAUACUGACGUACUUACCAGGCACCUUAAAAACAUAAGGAGACUUGGAGGGCAUUUAAAAUAUGUAUUGAAAGUUCAAAAUGAGGCCGGCACACAAUCCAGCAAAGUGCCAUCUGUUGGUUCUACUUGUAA